GUCACAACCAGCGUGGAAACCUGGAGGUUCCCUCCAGAUUGCACAACGCUUUCUUUCCACUCUCCUUGUGUUUCAGGUCUUGGAUCUGUUUGUGGGCUCCUGCACACUGAUAGCCAUCUCACCCGCUUCUAAGUGUCCGUCACAACCAGCGUGGAAACCUGGAGGUUCCCUCCAGAUUGCACAAUGCUUUCUUUCCACUCCUCUUAUGUUUCAGGUCUUGGAUCUCUUCCUGGGCUCCUGCACUCUGAUAUCCAUCUCACCCGCUUGUAAGCAUCCAUCACAGCCGGCGUGGAAACCUGGAGGUUCCCUCCAGGUUUUGGAUCUGUUUGUGGGCUCCUGCACACUGAUAUCCAUCUCACCCGCUUCUAAGUGUCCGUCACAGCCGGCGUUGAAACCUGGAGGUUUCCUCCAGAUUUCAAAACGCUUUCUUUCCACUCUACUUAUGUUUCAGGUCUUGGAUCUGUUCCUGGGCUCCUGCACUCUGAUAUCCAUCUCACCCGCUUCUAAGUGUCCGUCACAGCCGGCGUGGAAACCUGGAAGUUCCC
ensembl:lncRNA